UGCCCCAAAUUCUAAUAUUAGAAAGUAUGUCAUGACACUCAACAUGUUGACAUCACUCUAGUUAACAUCAAGGACUAAAGCAUAAUUUACUCUUAUCACUUGAGACAUCAACAAAGGUUAAGAAGUGAAGAAAAAAUGGUUCAUCAACUAGUAUAUCACAUGUAAUACUGUCAUAAUUAUUUUCCAGUUGUUUUUCCCUACCAAAUAUGUGAAGGUGUGGGCACUUUGCCGAGAUGAUCUGAUUUCAAAUUUCACAAGCAUAUCCAAAUUUUCAGUGGCUUAACACAAUAACAGUGCAUUUCUUACUCCAAUAAUAUUCUAAUGCUGGCAGGGAGAGCGUUGGGAAAUCUCUUCUCUAUCUUUAUUUAGGGACUUAGACUCAUUUCAUUUAUUAAUUUUUUCCAUCCCUUAGGUCUUUGAGUUCUCCACUGAAUGCUUUCCAAUAAGCCAGGAGAUGAGGGAUGAGAAAGAGUACACAAAGAAUCUCAUGAGAAUAGUUUCAGGAACUUUAGGCCAGACCUAGAAGUGGAUAUAUGACUUCCACAUAUGUUCCAUUGGCCAGAACUCCAUUGCAUGGUCCCAACUAACUGCAGAGGAAUCAGAAAUGUAGUCUAGCUAUGUGCAAAGGAGAGAAAAAGAAAUUGAACUUGAAAACAUAUUUACAGCCUAGAUGUUGGGGUUGGACCUUCUGUAAACUCUAAAGGCAGUUUAUAAAUUAAAUGCACGAGUGAUGUGACUCUGCUAUAUUUAUGCUGAGGAAUUAAAUAGCAAAAUCUAGUAUUUCACUGAUGUAUUUAUAUAAAGUAUCUGCUAUAACCUUGUAUAGUACAUUACAUGAUAAUCAUAUUUGAACCUUCCUUCUGGGGACACUAUCUCUCAAGACGUUUUAUGCACCAUGUCAACAAGGUAAGGCACGGACAUUUCAUAUUUAUCCUGAAGAGUGAUACUUCCAAUUCUGUUCAUUCUUCUACUUGAGAAUUUAUUAUAGCACACAUGGAACUUUUGAUUGUCAUCAAACAUCUUGCAAAAUAAUUGAUGUGAAAGUUACAGAAAAGGACACAGAAAAAGAUGGAUCAAUGUGACUGAUAAAGAGGGACUAUGAAAAUAACACCUGUCAAAAUUCCCAAGAUUCUCUUUAAUAAAAAAAUUGCAGCUAGUUAAA